GUGAACGCUGGCGGUAGGCCUAACACAUGCAAGUCGGACGGCAGCACAGUAAGAGCUUGCUCUUACGGGUGGCGAGUGGCGGACGGGUGAGGAAUACAUCGGAAUCUACUUUUUCGUGGGGGAUAACGUAGGGAAACUUACGCUAAUACCGCAUACGACCUACGGGUGAAAGCAGGGGAUCUUCGGACCUUGCGCGAUUGAAUGAGCCGAUGUCGGAUUAGCUAGUUGGCGGGGUAAAGGCCCACCAAGGCGACGAUCCGUAGCUGGCCUGAGAGGAUGAUCAGCCACACUGGAACUGAGACACGGUCCAGACUCCUACGGGAGGCAGCAGUGGGGAAUAUUGGACAAUGGGCGCAAGCCUGAUCCAGCCAUACCGCGUGGGUGAAGAAGGCCUUCGGGUUGUAAAGCCCUUUUGUUGGGAAAGAAAAGCAGCAGGUUAAUACCCCGCUGUUCUGACGGUACCCAAAGAAUAAGCACCGGCUAACUUCGUG
rnacentral:rRNA from 1 species